GAUGAACGCUAGCGGCAGGCUUAAUACAUGCAAGUCGAGGGGCAGCGGGGGUAGCAAUACCUGCCGGCGACCGGCAAACGGGUGCGGAACACGUACACAACCUUCCUUUUGGUGGGAAUAGCCCAGAGAAAUUUGGAUUAAUACCCUAUAGUAUGAUACUGAAGCAUUUUGGUAUCAUUAAAGAUUUAUCGCCGGAAGAUGGGUGUGCGUCUGAUUAGGUAGUUGGUUGGGUAACGGCCCACCAAGCCAACGAUCAGUAACUGGUGUGAGAGCACGACCAGUCACACGGGCACUGAGACACGGGCCCGACUCCUACGGGAGGCAGCAGUAAGGAAUAUUGGUCAAUGGACGCAAAGUCU
rnacentral:rRNA from 1 species